rnacentral:rRNA from 1 species
GACGAACGCUGGCGGCGUGCCUAACACAUGCAAGUCGAGCGGAGUCGAUCGACGGAAGCCUUCGGGCGGAAGAUGGUUGACUUAGCGGCGGAUGGGUGAGUAACGCGUGGGCAACCUGCCUCGAAGACCGGGAUAACAGCCCGAAAGGGCUGCUAAUACCGGAUGUGGUCAAGGAUCCGCAUGGAUUUUUGAUUAAAGGGGAAACCCGUUUCGAGAUGGGCCCGCGUCCUAUCAGCUAGUUGGUGAGGUAAAAGCUCACCAAGGCGACGACGGGUAGCCGGCCUGAGAGGGUGACCGGCACACUGGAACUGAGACACGGUCCAGACUCCUACGGGGGGCAGCAGUGGGGAAUCUUCCACAAUGGGCGAAAGCCUGAUGGAGCGACGCCGCGUGAGCGAAGAAGGCCUUCGGGUUGUAAAGCUCUGUCUGGAGGGACGAAGGAAGUGACGGUACCUCCGGAGGAAGCCACGGCUAACUACGUAG